rnacentral:rRNA from 1 species
GUUCUAAAACCGAUAACCCCCGUUCAACCUCACCCUUCCUUGUUUUACCCGCCUAUAUACCGCCGUCGUCAGCUUACCCUGUGAGGGACUAAUAGUAAGCAGAACUGGUACAACCUAAAACGUCAGGUCGAGGUGUAGCGUAUGGAGGGGGAAGAAAUGGGCUACAUUCGCUACCACAGCGAACACGAAUGAUGCACUGAAACACACAUCUGANGGAGGAUUUAGCAGUAAGCUGGAAAUAGAGCGUCCCACUGAAACUGGCCCUGAAGCGCGC